rnacentral:misc_RNA from 1 species
UCAUGCUCUUUUCAUUGGCCAGUAUUUCAAAAUAUCUUAUCAUAUCCUUCAUAUCUCGUCUGUUUAUUUGACUCCUUAAGAAUGCCCCUUGAUUUUAACUUGUCUACCCAACUUUGCACUUCUUUUUCUUCUUAUACUACUACUAUUUCAUCCUCUUCAGCAUGCACUUGCCUUUGUUUCAUUACUCCAUCUCUAAUUUCUUCUUUACAUGCAGAACAUGAAAGCUCCCCCAAUAAUUUUGGACUUUGCUGCACUUCUUGCAUUUUCACCUCUAAUCUUUCCUUCAAUGAUUCAUUCUAUUUUGCAUAAUUAUAUUCCUCAAUUGAUGUCACUAUAAAAGUG